UACGUAGGGGGCAAGCGUUGUCCGGAUUUAUUGGGCGUAAAGAGCGUGUAGGCGGCCAGGUAGGUCUGCUGUGAAAACUCGAGGCUUAACCUCGAGCUGUCGGCGGAAACCAUCUGGCUAGAGUCCGGAAGAGGAGAAUGGAAUUCCCGGUGUAGCGGUGAAAUGCGCAGAUAUCGGGAAGAACACCCGUGGCGAAAGCGGCUCUCUGGGACGGUACUGACGCUGAGACGCGAAAGCGUGGGGAGCGAACAGG
rnacentral:rRNA from 1 species